rnacentral:lncRNA from 1 species
AAGAUCUAGAAUUCACUAAUACACAUGUCAGUGCAGACAUUAGCAGCACACAUUGAUUUUUUUUGCCUAUUUGUUUCUUUCACUUGCCUUCACUAAACUAAUAUCCCAUAAUACAACUAGACCCUCCUUUCCCUUCCACAGGCAACAGCCUUUUAUUGUGGAAGAAGACUCAAAGGGACAUAGACAAAGGAAAGCAAGUGAUGGGGAAAUGACUGGUUCUAGAUGGCUCCAAGGGUAAUUUCCAAAGAUUUGGAAGAAUUUUAACCUCUUGGAAGAGGGCACUGGAUUUAAAUCAUUAUAGACCAAGACAAAACACAUGCAGUGACUACAAUGGAAGAAUAGAUUCUAAAUGUUCUAGAGAUGAUGUAAGUGACAAAAAUUCAGAUUCAAAAGGGGGAAGAAAGGUAUAGGUAAUAUAAACAUUUUGUGGUGUAAAUGAAACAAUCGAUUUUGUUGGUUACUCUAAACAUUUGUUUCCGGCAAAAGAAGCACAAAUUUCUUANAGGGUCAGAAGCACAAAUUUCUUAGUCACCCUCACUUUCUGUUCACUUCUACUACAUCUCUAAAAGUCCAUUUUCUUGGCAUAUAGCUGUCUUUCAAAGUAUCCAAUCUGAGAUUUUUUUUUAUACAGGGGAUAUUUAAUCCAUUUGCAUUUAUUAUAAUUACUAAUAUAUUUGAAAUUGUUUUUUUCAUAUUUUUAAUAUCUAUUUAUACACCUUUACUAUCUUGAUUUUGUAUUAUUAAAUUCUUGCCACCCCCCCUUAUUUACUUCUAUAAUGGAAAUGCUACUUCUUUCUUUCAUUAAAUUCUUGACUUUUAAUAUGCGUAUGUUCCGCUAAUAUCUGAAGAUAAUGAAAAAUCUCAAUUUUCUUUUUGGAAACACAAAAAUUUCAAUUUCAAAUUUACCUUCCUAAUCAAACAAUUUAUUUCUUUGAUUUUUUAUUCCCCAAAUUGUACAUUAUUAUUUUAAUGAAAAAAUUUAUUUAGAUAUAUCCAUGUUCAUCAAUUUUUUAUUCACCAAUCCAACUUGACUUCUGUGUGAGCCAUUGAAUUCCCUUUUUUUUUCGCCUUUUUGCCUUUUUGC